rnacentral:siRNA from 1 species
UCAUCCUUCCGCCAAGUCAGCAGU